UACGAAGGGUGCAAGCGUUACUCGGAAUUACUGGGCGUAAAGCGUGCGUAGGUGGUUCGUUAAGUCUGAUGUGAAAGCCCUGGGCUCAACCUGGGGAUGGCAUUGGAAACUGGCGACCUAGAGUGCGGUAGAGGGUAGUGGAAUUCCCGGUGUAGCAGUGAAAUGCGUAGAGAUCGGGAGGAACACCAAUGGCGAAGGCAGCUCGCUGGGACGGUACUGACGCUGAGACGCGAAAGCGUGGGGAGCAAACAGG
rnacentral:rRNA from 1 species